rnacentral:sRNA from 1 species
AUAAGGCAGUGAUCAGACGAUCCAAGUG